CUUGCAUGCUACAUGGAAGGUGUGGGUGAACCCCAUGAAGGAAAAAGGAACAUGCGCCAGGACAUUCUGUACAUUCCACUCAUUAACAUGCCAGUUGCCCUUCUUCAGCCUAAGAUCCCAACCUAGAAAUGAAGAAUAAAGUUUACACUGUCAAUGGUACAUGAUCUAUGGAGAACUGAAUUAGAAUAGGGAAGUACAGGUUUGAUAAUGGGACAUUUCUAUGUUUCAGGGGGUCAUUUGUUAUAAGCUUUAUAUUAUCCAGAUCUCAUUCCAUUUUAUCUUUGAUUUAUUUUUCUGGCAUUACUCUGUUUCCUUCACCUCACUCUGCCCAACACAUUACCACUGUCCCACACCUGACAGUAAUAGUCAGCCUCGUCCUCGGCCCGGGCCCCGCUGAUGGUCAGGGUGGCCGUGUUCCCUGAGUUGGUGCCUGAGAAUCGGUCAGGGAUCCCUGAGGGCCGGUUGCUAUCCUUAUAGAUAAUCAGCACAGGGGCCUGGCCUGACUUCUGCUGGUACCAGUAAGCAUAAUAACUUCCAAUGUUGUUUCCUCCACAUGUGAUCCUGGCCGUCUGUCCCAGGUUCACUGACACUG